GGACGGCAAGGCGGGGAGAGGGGCAGCCCGCUCGCGGCCCUCCCGCCUGGCUCUCGCCUCGGCCUGCGGCCGGGAUCCUCCGCCCGGGUCGCGCAGCGGAGGCCGAGGGCUGGGACGGGCGGCUGGGAAGUGGGAAAGGGAGCUCCUUUUGUCUUCUCUUCCCAUCCCCCAGGUUUGGGAAAGUUUUCCUUUUGGGAAAGCCCCUCUCUUCAGCCUGCUGGCGGGUGUCGGAUUGGUUAGCGACCACCGGCCCCCGCCUCCCCCAACAGGAUUCUCCUUUGGGCCACAGGUCUUCCGGAAGUUGCCAAACCCCGGUAGCGGCAGCGUCCGGCUGGGGGCUUUAUUAGGGGGCACCGGGGUCUGCUUUCCGACUCCCUUCCGACUCCGCGCCUGCGCAGGAAGCGAUUUGGGGAGUGUUGUGAAUUCCGAGGGCUCCACACUUAAGAGGUUGUACACUCACCUGUCUACCUGGACUCCAAUUUCCAUAUUUCCAGCCACUUGAGGACUGAGAGGUGGAUGAUAAACCCUGUCAUAGUGGAGCAAGUUCAGGUGUUUAACCGCUGUUAUGGGGGAUCUGCCUUUUCUCCCUCUUCUUUCUUACUUCCAUAAGUAUGUAUGUGCAGAGAUUGAAAAAUAACCUUGAGAGAGUCCAUCCAUCUAACUCCAGUUCAUUGGAAAUUUCUGCUUCUUUGAGACUGAGGUUAUAUUCCACUUCUUCUGACUACACCACCACCAUCAAUCUCCUUCUCUGAACUCUUGGAUCAUUACUUCAACCUGAAACAACUCAUCAGGCAGAAUAGUUGCCUACUGCCCCAACCCCACCAAAUGUUCCAGCACCUCUGAUAUUACCUCACAUGGCAAGAGGGCUUUGAAGAUGUGAUUGAGUCAAGGAUCUUGAAUGGGGAGAUUAUCCUGAAUUAUUCAGCUGGACCCAGUGUAAUCACAAAGGUUUUUCAAAGAUGGAAGAGAGGCAGAAGAGCCAGAAAAGGAUAUGUGACAAUGGAGUCAGUGUCAGAGUUGGAGUGACGUGAUGUGAGAAGGAUUCAACCUGCUGUUUCUGGCUUUGAGGAUGAAAGAAGGGGCCAUGAGCCAAGCAAUACAGGUGGCUUCUUUCAAGAAGUUGGAAAAGUGGUAAUAUUUUAUGUUAUUUUGGUUUGAUUUUUGUUUGUGGCAUAUGGCUCUGCUGUCCUGUGACUCUAAGUAGAAGAGAAAAUAGUGCCAAUAAUUCUUCAUGGAGAUGCACCUCUCUCAAGUCUUGAACAAUGUUUGAGAUUUCCCCAGGCCACCAUCACUGGAUUUGGCUAUUUGACUUGCUGUAGUCAAUGGAAUGUGAGUGAAAAGUGACUCUGUACCAGUGGGGAGGCAAAGCCUUAAAAGACCCAGCAAAUUUCUUCCAGCCCUUUUGUGCUUCUGCCAAAAGAAUACUGUGAGCAAUCAGUGCCCUUAAGCCUGGGCCUCAGAACGAGAGAUAUGGAGCAAACCUGAACCUGAACAGCAGCCUACAAUCAAGCCAGGAUGACCCUGCAAAGCCCAGCCAACGAUAGCAAAGCCACAGCAGACUUGUAGACCAAU
rnacentral:lncRNA from 1 species